rnacentral:rRNA from 1 species
AGAGUUUGAUUCUGGCUCAGAACGAACGCUGGCGGCGUGGAUAAGACAUGCAAGUCGAACGGAACAUCAUGAGUAGCAAUACAAGUGAUGUUUAGUGGCGAACGGGUGCGUAACACGUGGAUACAUUCCGGGAAGCGGGGGAUAGCCCAGGGAAACUUGGAUUAAUACCGCAUGUGAUCGAAAGAUCAAAGACGGGGACCGCAAGGCCUGUCACUUCCCGAUUGGUCCGCGGCCUAUCAGCUAGUUGGCGGGGUAAAGGCCCACCAAGGCGACGACGGGUAGCUGGUCUGAGAGGACGACCAGCCACACUGGAACUGAGACACGGUCCAGACACCUACGGGUGGCAGCAGUCGAGAAUCUUUCACAAUGGGGGCAACCCUGAUGGAGCGACGCCGCGUGGAGGAUAAGGUCUUCGGAUUGUAAACUCCUGUCAUGUGUGAACAAGGUUGCGGGGCUAAUACCUUUGCAAAUUGAUGGUAACACAAGAGGAAGAGACGGCUAACUCUGUGCCAGCAGCCGCGGUAAUACAGAGGUCUCAAGCGUUGUUCGGAAUCACUGGGCGUAAAGGGUGCGUAGGUGGCGUGGUAAGUCAGAUGUGAAAGCCCAGGGCUCAACCCUGGAAUUGCAUCCGAUACUGCCGUGCUAGAGAACUGAAGGGGAGUCUGGAAUUCUCGGUGUAGCAGUGAAAUGCGUAGAUAUCGAGAGGAACACCAAUGGCGAAGGCAAGACUCUGGGCAGUUUCUGACACUGAGGCACGAAGGCCAGGGGAGCGAACGGGAUUAGAUACCCCGGUAGUCCUGGCAGUAAACGGUGCACGUUUGGUAUGGGCGCAAUCGACCGCGCCCGUGCCGGAGCUAACGCGUUAAACGUGCCGCCUGGGAAGUACGGUCGCAAGAUUAAAACUCAAAGAAAUUGACGGGGACCCGCACAAGCGGUGGAGUAUGUGGCUUAA